rnacentral:snRNA from 1 species
AGAUGUGAAGGCAAUCUUCCUGCAACAUCUGUCACUCCACUGAUCACCAAGGUUUAUUCAGCUGGUCUGGCUGCCUAGACAGGUGUCCCCUUCCUCCUUCACCACUCCAUGUGAGUCCCUCCCAAAGCUGCGUGCUUAGUCAAAGAAGACGGCCACCUCUGAUAAAGGGCUGCUUCCUUGGUCAAGGGGUUGAGCUCCCCUGCUAGAACCUCCAAACAAAAUAUCAAGGUAUUAAUUAUUCUUCCCUUCAUCCAAUAGCUUUGUUUCCUGGGAACUGAAUGUUGAAUGGAUAAUAAUACUAGUAGCAGUUAAUAAGAAUAAAGAUAUUAGUCUUGCCAAUUUCUUUUUUU